GCUACCGUUCUACCGUCUAUCCUACCGCUAUCGUUCUACCGUCUAUCCUACCGCUACCUUUAUCUUUCUAAAUUCUUUUCCUUCUCUUUUCCUUUCCUUCCCAGAGAUCGGAACAGCAUCGUGUAGGGAGAGAG